UCCAGAAUCCGGUCUAGUGGCUAGGAUACCUGGCUUUCAUCCAGGAGGCUCGGGUUUGAUUCUCGAUAUCGGAA
rnacentral:tRNA from 1 species